CCCUUAGAUGUUCUGGGCCGCACGCGUGCUACACUGAGUAAAUCAAUGGGUAAGGGAACACGAAAGUGCAAUCUAAUCUUGAAAUUUGCUCGUGAUGGGGAUCGACGGUUGCAAUUUUCCGUCGUGAACGAGGAAUACCUUGUAGGCGCGUGUCAUCAUCACGCGCCGAAUACGUCCCUGCCCUUUGUACACACCGCCCGUCGCUCCUACCGAUUGAGUGAUCCGGUGAGGCUCUGGGACCUGGACGGAAAGAGCGUUUCGCUUGUUCUGUUUGGGAAACUUGGUCGAACCUUAUCAUUUAGAGGAAGGAGAAGUCGUAACA
rnacentral:rRNA from 1 species